UACGUAGGGGGGCUAGCGUUGUCCGGAAUCAUUGGGCGUAAAGAGCGCGUAGGCGGCCAGAUAAGUCCGGUGUGAAAGUCACAGGCUCAACCUGUGAAUGCCGCUGGAAACUGUCUGGCUAGAGUCCGGGAGGGGCGAGUGGAAUUCCUGGUGUAGCGGUGAAAUGCGCAGAUAUCAGGAGGAACACCAAUGGCGAAGGCAGCUCGCUGGAACGGUACUGACGCUGAGACGCGAAAGCGUGGGGAGCGAACAGG
rnacentral:rRNA from 1 species